AGAAAACCAACAGUUACAGACCUCAAAGAUUAGAGGAACCAGGAGUGUUGUGUCUUGAAUGCUCCUGCCAAGCCAGCCUGAUCUGUCUGCCACCCACCCACCAGCAUCCAAGAGUUAUGCAGAUGUUUAUGGCUGAAAAAAAUCCCAGUUAUGCAUCCUUGUAUUUUUAAAUACUGACUAUGCGCUAGAGAAGGCCGCGCGCCUUUGGCAG